CUGAGCGCCAGAAAAUUUCAGAGACACCCCAAAAUCAUGCAGUCAGGAAGAGAGCCAAGAUUCAAAUGCAAGACUGUCUAAUGCCAAGCUUGUUUGUAGUCAUUAUGCUUUUCUGUUGCUGUUAAGGAAAGACUCAAGGAGAUAGUUAUAAUCAGGAAGAAAGACAAUGGCGAAACAAAUACGGACCCAAACUCUGCAGUCACUGGGCUGGGCUCACUAGAUAAGGGAUAUCCUCUGAGGCUGGGGCCAGGAUGGAGAAUCACUGUGCUGAUUAAAUUGCCGUGGACAAAACAAAAUUACUUCAUUGGAAUCAAACCAAAACCUAGCCAUGACUAAAUCCUCAGAACAGUGAGGAUCUGGAGGGGUAGAUAUGUUAUUAAAGCUAUGCGAUGCAAGGAAAACUAGAGAGAAAAAAGGAAACAAGGAAGCAAGAGACACAUGGGAAAAGGGAGGAGGAGGAAAUGGUGGACUGGCUAUCUACAGAUGCUCUAACAACAUGGCAGCCUGCUUCUUCAAAGCUAACAGAAGAAUCUCUCACUCCUGACGCCGAAGAUUAUGAGUUUUAAAUACUGUAAGAUAGCUAUCUCCUUCCAUUCCAAGUCCAGAGAACGGAUGAAUUCUUCCACAAAUGGCCUGCCUUCUCCCAAAGCACCUGCCUUUUAAAAGUGGAUACAGCAGGGGAGGAAAACCUUAAUGCAAAGAAAGGAAUGAGAGGGUGAUUGUGAAAUACUACGCUGAGAGAGAUACUCUGAAGAUGAUGACUGUGCUGGGCAGAACAUGGUCCUCCAAGAUAUCCAUCUAUUAAUCCCCAGAACCUGCAAAAGGUACUUUGCAGACAUGUUGAAAUUAAGGAUUCUGAGAUGGGAGAUUAUCCUGGAUCACCUAUGUUAGGUCCAAUGUAGUCACAAGGGUGUUAUAAGGGAAAAGGGAGGCAGGAGGGUCACAGCCAGAGAAGGAAGGAGAUGACAAUGAAACGAUGCAUUUGCUGACUGCCAGAUGCUGAAGAGUCUAGAAGCCAAAAAUGGCAAGGAAAGAGAUUCUCUUUUAGAGCCUCCAGGAUGAAGACAACUCUGCUGACCCCUUUAUUUUAUUUUAUUUUAUUUUUUUGCUUUUUUAGGGCCACAGCCAUGGCAUAGAGAGGUUCCCAGGCUA